rnacentral:tRNA from 1 species
GCAGUGGUCAUUCAGUGGUAGAAGUCUUACCUUCCAUGCAGGAGACCCAGGCUUGAUUCCUGGCCGAUGCC